UACGUAGGGUGCGAGCGUUGUCCGGAAUUAUUGGGCGUAAAGAGCUUGUAGGCGGUUUGUCGCGUCUGCCGUGAAAGCCCAGGGCUUAACCCUGGGUCUGCGGUGGGUACGGGGCAGACUAGAGUGUGGUAGGGGGAGACUGGAAUUCCUGGUGUAGCGGUGAAAUGCGCAGAUAUCAGGAGGAACACCGAUGGCGAAGGCAGGUCUCUGGGCCACUACUGACGCUGAGAAGCGAAAGCAUGGGAGCAAACAGG
rnacentral:rRNA from 1 species